GACGAACGCUGGCGGCGUGCCUAAUACAUGCAAGUAGAACGCUGAAGGAGGAGCUUGCUUCUCCGGAUGAGUUGCGAACGGGUGAGUAACGCGUAGGUAACCUGCCUGGUAGCGGGGGAUAACUAUUGGAAACGAUAGCUAAUACCGCAUAACAGUAGAUGUUGCAUGACAUUUGCUUAAAAGGUGCAAUUGCAUCACUACCAGAUGGACCUGCGUUGUAUUAGCUAGUUGGUGAGGUAACGGCUCACCAAGGCGACGAUACAUAGCCGACCUGAGAGGGUGAUCGGCCACACUGGGACUGAGACACGGCCCAGACUCCUACGGGAGGCAGCAGUAGGGAAUCUUCGGCAAUGGACGGAAGUCUGACCGAGAAACGCCGCGUGAGUGAAGAAGGUUUUCGGAUCGUAAAGCUCUGUUGUAAGAGAAGAACGAGUGUGAGAGUGGAAAGUUCACACUGUGACGGUAUCUUACCAGAAAGGGACGGCUAACUACGUG
rnacentral:rRNA from 1 species